rnacentral:rRNA from 1 species
AGAUUGAACGCUGGCGGCAGGCCUAACACAUGCAAGUCGAGCGGCAGCACGGGUACUUGUACCUGGUGGCGAGCGGCGGACGGGUGAGUAAUGCCUAGGAAUCUGCCUGAUAGUGGGGGAUAACGCUCGGAAACGGACGCUAAUACCGCAUACGUCCUACGGGAGAAAGCAGGGGACCUUCGGGCCUUGCGCUAUCAGAUGAGCCUAGGUCGGAUUAGCUAGGUUGGUGGGACAAGU